AACAGGUUAAUAUUCCUGUACUUGGUGUUACUGCGAAGGGGGGACGGAGAAGGCUAUGUUAGCCGGGCGACGGUUGUCCCGGUUUAAGCAUGUAGGCUGAUUGUCCAGGCAAAUCCGGAUAAUCAAGGCUGAGGUGUGAUGACGAGGCACUACGGUGCUGAAGUAACAAAUGCCCUGCUUCCAGGAAAAGCCUCUAAGCAUCAGGUAACAUCAAAUCGUACCCCAAACCGACACAGGUGGUCAGGUAGAGAAUACCAAGGCGCUUGAGAGAACUCGGGUGAAGGAACUAGGCAAAAUGGUGCCG
rnacentral:rRNA from 1 species